ensembl:lncRNA novel transcript, antisense to a novel protein
AGCUCUACAAGAACUUCUAGUGCUCUGGGCAGCUGCGAGGGGUCAAGAAACCACAUCCCCAAAUCCAGCGGAGUCUCGAUCUGUUGCCCAGGCUGGAGUACAGUGGUCCAAUCUCAGCUCACUGCAACCUCUGCCCCUCGGGUUCAAGCAAUUCUCCUGCCUCAGCUUCCCGAGUAGCUGGGAUUACAGGAAAACAAUUGUUUCAUGUAAGACGCUGAGCGCAAGCAAGUUGGGCAUUCUGUUCAGGCAUUUGUUCAUCAUUCAUUCACUUACUCAUUCAACAAAUGUCUACGGAACUACUUUGUGCAGUUUGGGAUUAGAGAUGUGAAUAAUGCAGGCGACGAAACAAGUUUGCUGAGAGUCAUGGUGUGCCCAGCACCACAUUUUGGUUCAUCAUGGUUCAGAAAAGUUUGUCUUCUCUUGGCACACCCAGCUUUGACGGUGCACAUGAAUAGGAUACAGAGGUGCAGGCAGAGGCCAGGCCAGCCCGAGUCAAAGCUUAGGAACAGAGGAUGAAGACUGUUGCAA